GUAAACGAGGUCACCCACGAUUUGAGUAACUAAACUGAUCCUGAACAAACACCAAUACUCUGCCACCC
ensembl:ncRNA C52G5.5 ncRNA